GACGAACCGUGCGAACGUUGUUCGGAUUCACUGGGCUUAAAGGGCGCGUAGGCGGGCAUUCAAGUCAGGGGUGAAAGCCCCCGGCCUAACCGGGGAAGUGCCUCUGAGACUGAGUGUCUCGGAGGGGGGUAGGGGCAGUUGGAACUCUCGGUGGAGCGGUGAAAUGCGUAGAUAUCGGGGAGGAACGCCGGUGGCGAAAGCGGGCUGCUGGACCCCUUCUGACGCUGAGGCGCGAAAGCCAGGGGAGCGAACAGG
rnacentral:rRNA from 1 species